rnacentral:lncRNA from 1 species
UCACAACAUAACACUUCCAUAAUUCAACAUAAUUACAAACAGAGGUCUACGGCCAAAAGUCUACAAAAGACCGGCUCUUAAAAAUGAAUUGCCCUACGACCUACAAGUCGGACACGUUCUCCAAUCUUAUGACUUCACCUCUGCGACUCCUCAAUGCCAACCAAAGCUAUCUGGCCGCUCCGUCCACCAGGGACCUGAAAUGGUUAUUCAAUAACCACUGAGACAACGUCUCAGCAAGUUCAACCCCCUAAACCCCUAUUAGAAAGAAAAUACGCCCAAAGGUGGUCUAGCCACAUCACACAGAAGACUUACCUCGCCUCAGUUCCUUCCUGCAGGUUAGCGCAAUUCAAAUCACUCAAUCACAGAUAGUAAGAGGAACUUAAACAAUCGGAACGUAUUCACUUUCAUAUAUCCAACAACCGCGGGGGUCCUGAUUAUAAGACUAAAUCGUUAUGACACGUCCCAUUCCAUGCCACACAAUUCCGUCCCAUAAUCCGACACAUCAACAACACUCAACAUGCAU